rnacentral:misc_RNA from 1 species
UUUCCGUAGGUGAACCUGCGGAAGGAUCAUUAUUGAAUAAACCUGAUGUGGUUGUAGCUGGUCCUUUCGGGAGCAUGUGCACACCCGUCGUCUUUAUCUUUCCACCUGUGCACCUUUUGUAGACCUGGAUGUAACACUUUCCGAGGCAACUCGGUCGGGAGGAAUGCUGUCAGCUUUCCUUGAAUGUCCAGGCCUAUGUUUUCAUAUACCCCAAAGAAUGUAACAGAAUGUAUUAUUGGGCCUUGUGCCUAUAAACUAUAUACAACUUUCAGCAACGGAUCUCUUGGCUCUC